GGUCUGGUGGAGCAAUGGUAGCUCGUCACUUUCCGGAGGUGAAAGUUGCGGGUUCGAGUCCCGUCCGGAUCG
rnacentral:tRNA from 1 species